rnacentral:tRNA from 1 species
GCGGUGGUAGCUCAGCCUGGUAGAGCACUCGCCUGUCACGCGAGGGAUCGCCGGUUCAAAUCCGGUCCACCGCG